rnacentral:rRNA from 1 species
GUGGGGAAUUUUGGACAAUGGGGGCAACCCUGAUCCAGCCAUGCCGCGUGCGGGAAGAAGGCCUUCGGGUUGUAAACCGCUUUUGGCCGGGAAGAAAAGGUUCAGGUUAAUACCUUGGAUUUUUGACGGUACCGGCAGAAUAAGCACCGGCUAACUACGUGCCAGCAGCCGCGGUAAUACGUAGGGUGCGAGCGUUAAUCGGAAUUACUGGGCGUAAAGCGUGCGUAGGUGGUUCGUUGUGUCUGUGGUGAAAGCCCCGGGCUUAACCUGGGAAUGGCCAUGGAAACUGGCGAGCUGGAGUGUGGCAGAGGGGGGUGGAAUUCCGCGUGUAGCAGUGAAAUGCGUAGAGAUGCGGAGGAACACCGAUGGCGAAGGCAGCCCCCUGGGCUAACACUGACGCUGAGGCACGAAAGCGUGGGGAGCAAACAGGAUUAGAUACCCUAGUAGUCC